rnacentral:rRNA from 1 species
UACGUAGGGUGCGAGCGUUGUCCGGAAUUAUUGGGCGUAAAGAGCUCGUAGGCGGUGUGUCACGUCGUUCGUGAAAACCUGCAGCUUAACUGUGGGCGUGCGGUCGAUACGGGCAUCACUGGAGUUCGGCAGGGGAGACUGGAAUUCCUGGUGUAGCGGUGAAAUGCGCAGAUAUCAGGAGGAACACCAGUGGCGAAGGCGGCUUCCUGGACACUAACUGACGCUGGAGACGCGAAAGCGUGGGGAGCAAACAGG